CCAAUAGCGUAUAUUAAAGUUGUUGCAGUUCAAAAGCUCGUAGUUGAAUUUCGGGGUCAGUAGGUUGGUCAUGCCACUGGUAUGUACUGGUCUCACUGAUUCCUCCUUCCUGAUGAGCCGUAAUGCCAUUAAUUUGGUGUUGCGAGGAAUCUGGACUGUUACUUUGAAAAAAUUAGAGUGUUUAAAGCAGGCUAACGCUUGAAUACAUUAGCAUGGAAUAAUGAAAUAGGACGUUCGAUCUUAUUUUGUUGGUUUCUAAGAUUGACGUAAUGAUUAAUAGGGAUAGUUGGGGGCAUUAGUAUUCAAUUGUCAGAGGUGAAAUUCUUGGAUUUAUUGAAGACUAACUACUGCGAAAGCAUUUGCCAAGGAUGUUUUCAUUAAUCAAGAACGAAAGUUAGGGGAUCGAAGACGAUCAGAUACCGUCGUAGUCUUAACCAUAAACUAUGCCGACUAGGGAUCGGAUGAUGUUAAUUUUUUAAUGACUCAUUCGGCGCCUUACG
rnacentral:rRNA from 1 species